UGGAUGAUGUGGAUUAAUUCGAUGCAACGCGAAGAACCUUACUACCCUUGACAUGUCCGGAACUUGCCAGAGAUGGCUUGGUGCCCGAAAGGGAAUCGGAACACAGGUGCUGCAUGGCUGUCGUCAGCUCGUGUCGUGAGAUGUUGGGUUAAGUCCCGCAACGAGCGCAACCCUUAUCAUUAGUUGCUACGCAAGGGCACUCUAAUGAGACUGCCGGUGACAAACCGGAGGAAGGUGGGGAUGACGUCAAGUCCUCAUGGCCCUUAUGGGUAGGGCUUCACACGUCAUACAAUGGUCGGUACAGAGGGUUGCCAAGCCGCGAGGCGGAGCCAAUCCCACAAAGCCGAUCGUAGUCCGGAUUGUUCUCUGCAACUCGAGAGCAUGAAGUCGGAAUCGCUAGUAAUCGCAGGUCAGCAUACUGCGGUGAAUACGUUCCCGGGUCUU
rnacentral:rRNA from 1 species